rnacentral:rRNA from 1 species
GACGAACGCUGGCGGCGUGCUUAACACAUGCAAGUCGAACGGAAAGGCCCUGCUUUUGUGGGGUGCCCGAGUGGCGAACGGGUGAGCAACACGUGAGUAACCUGCCCUUGACUUUGGGAUAACUUCAGGAAACUGGGGCUAAUACCGGAUAGGAGCUCCUGCUGCAUGGUGGGGGUUGGAAAGUUUCGGCGGUUGGGGAUGGACUCGCGGCUUAUCAGCUUGUUGGUGGGGUAGUGGCUUACCAAGGCUUUGACGGGUAGCCGGCCUGAGAGGGUGACCGGCCACAUUGGGACUGAGAUACGGCCCAGACUCCUACGGGAGGCAGCAGUGGGGAAUAUUGCACAAUGGGCGGAAGCCUGAUGCAGCAACGCCGCGUGCGGGAUGACGGCCUUCGGGUUGUAAACCGCUUUCGCCUGUGACGAAGCGUGAGUGACGGUAAUGGGUAAAGAAGCACCGGCUAACUACGUGCCAGCAGCCGCGGUGAUACGUAGGGUGCGAGCGUUGUCCGGAUUUAUUGGGCGUAAAGGGCUCGUAGGUGGUUGAUCGCGUCGGAAGUGUAAUCUUGGGGCUUAACCCUGAGCGUGCUUUCGAUACGGGUUGACUUGAGGAAGGUAGGGGAGAAUGGAAUUCCUGGUGGAGCGGUGGAAUGCGCAGAUAUCAGGAGGAACACCAGUGGCGAAGGCGGUUCUCUGGGCCUUUCCUGACGCUGAGGAGCGAAAGCGUGGGGAGCGAACAGGCUUAGAUACCCUGGUAGUCCACGCUGUAAACGGUGGGUACUAGGUGUGGGGUCCAUUCCACGGGUUCCGUGCCGUAGCUAACGCUUUAAGUACCCCGCCUGGGGAGUACGGCCGCAAGGCUAAAACUCAAAGGAAUUGACGGGGCCCCGCACAAGCGGCGGAGCAUGCGGAUUAAUUCGAUGCAACGCGUAGAACCUUACCUGGGUUUGACAUGGAUCGGGAGCGCUCAGAGAUGGGUGUGCCUCUUUUGGGGUCGGUUCACAGGUGGUGCAUGGCUGUCGUCAGCUCGUGUCGUGAGAUGUUGGGUUAAGUCCCGCAACGAGCGCAACCCUUGUUCACUGUUGCCAGCACGUUAUGGUGGGGACUCAGUGGAGACCGCCGGGGUCAACUCGGAGGAAGGUGGGGAUGACGUCAAGUCAUCAUGCCCCUUAUGUCCAGGGCUUCACGCAUGCUACAAUGGCUGGUACAGAGAGUGGCGAGCCUGUGAGGGUGAGCGAAUCUCGGAAAGCCGGUCUCAGUUCGGAUUGGGGUCUGCAACUCGACCUCAUGAAGUCGGAGUCGCUAGUAAUCGCAGAUCAGCAACGCUGCGGUGAAUACGUUCCCGGG